rnacentral:rRNA from 1 species
UACAGAGGUGGCAAGCGUUGUUCGGAAUUACUGGGCGUAAAGGGCGCGUAGGCGGUUCGAUAAGUCCCGUGUGAAAGCCCCCGGCUCAACUGGGGAACUGCACGGGAAACUGACGGACUUGAGUUCGGGAGAGGGAAGCGGAAUUCCGGGUGUAGCGGUGAAAUGCGUAGAUAUCCGGGGGAACACCGGUGGCGAAGGCGGCUUCCUGGACCGACACUGACGCUGAGGCGCGAAAGCUAGGGGAGCAAACGGG